GCCACACCCUUGAUGGAGGGCCCCGGUGGGUGAGGUCUGUAGCUCCUGGAAACAGACCCCAGAGCGGCGGCAAGAAAGGAGUUGGUCUCCACAAUCCGCCCAAAGCCAAGAAGACUUUGGAUAAGUCAUUAUGGAGAAAGCUAAGGAUCCCUGCGUUGUCUUGAAAGCACACCAGCCGGGAAAUCAGAAGGCCUGGGUUUGAAUUCCAGUUACUCACAAAUGUAAGUGAAAGCGGGCAGGCCAGUGACUCCACCUCAACCACACCAUGGAGGAUGUCUCUGUGGUCUCAUGUCCACCUUCAUUUGCAAGAUGUCUGCCACAGUUCCAGAUAAUCCGUGGGAUCUCAGGGAAAAGAAGACAACUUCUCCUGUAUUGUGACAACUAGCAAGCACACAAAAGUGAACAUCACGUGGGCCUUGACCUGGAGAGCUAGCAAGCAAACCGGCAUCCCAUGUCAUUUCAAAAUUGUAUAGUAAGCAAGGAGAGGCAUGCAGUGUUCUGGAAGCACAGAGAAGGAUCCCUCAGCUCUACUGAGGAAUGAUUCCUGGGGAGAGACCAAGUGGACUGGCUAUAGAUGCUGAGAAUGAGUUUGACUAUAAAGACAAUGCUGUAAGAUAAAGAUGCAGACAUACACAGUGUUUGAAGAAGUCUGGAUGAAAAUAACUCGCACUACCGUCUAUGCGGCUGCCCCACAGCCAGAGUGGAGAAGUACUGACAUUGUAGAAACCUUCACUUUCUAUGUACUGUUUACUUUUUUGUACAGUGCUAGUGAAUUAUCAGAAAGAAAAACAUAAAUUUUUCCAAGUGAGGGGAAAAAGUAAAAAAAAAAAAAAAAAAGAAAGAAAGGAAGAAAGAAAGAAAGAAAGAAAGAAAAAGAAAGAAAGGAAAUCCAGUUCUCCCAACGCCCUUUUGCAUGAAGCUUGCAUGAAGUGCUCUGGUCUGCUCUAUGCAAAAACAGGGUUUGACUCCGCCUAUCACCUGGCUCCUCCAAGCUUACUCUCACCACCUUCCCUUUUAAAUCCCACCUGCCAGGGAAGCCUUUGUAGUCAGAGUGGGAUCUCUCCUCUGAUCCAACUUAUCUACCCCAGGCUUACCCAACUAGAAAAACUGGAAAAUAAAAGUCAAAAACAGUACGUUCAAACAAGACGCUGAAAACUGGCCCAACCUGUACACGAAACCAACAUGUCUUAUUCGAGUACCAUGAGUUUGUACAAGGAGCUAGCAGCCCGCUGGGAGGAAAGGAAACGCAGGCUGGAGACCCAGGCCCUAGUGCAUCCCUGCCAUUUUUUGAACUCCACCAUUUUUCUCACCUGCUCAUCCUAUCUGUUACUCUAACUCAGGAGGCUGAUAAGAGAAUCUGGGGAGGCAGGAGCAGUGCUAUGGAAAUAAAAGGUGAUUAGUCAUAUCAUCGUGUGAGCCCUGGAGGACAGGAUUUGUAUUGUGGGUUUGGUAUGAAUAUUGCCUAGAAAAUGAGGAGAACCCAAGAUGUUCAUUAACACAAAUGUGCUUUGAUUUUACGAAGAAAAUGCUGUGACAAUCCAACCCGAAUGAUUUCUCUUUUCAAUGACUUUUCACCUGAGGAUCUCAAAAUGUCUCUUCCAGUCUUCCAUCACAACUGCCCCAUAAUGAGUGUGGGCUGCUACUAGGCCACCAAUAGUAGUGUUGACACAUUUUCCAGCAUUUCCCCCCCUCCCCAUCAUGAAUAAUACGUUUCUCGUUACUGGUGAGAGCCAUUAUAACAGGAAGGAAGAGCAGCUCAGAUGUGUCUGAGCGCUGGGAGUUUAGAAAAGAAACCUUGGGUGGAACUGGAAGAGGAGACUGAGCAGGCUGAGGGGAAGUAGCCAAGCAGAGAUUUCUAAAGCCAAUGCGAUGACUUAACCCUACAUACUGUGCAGGUCUUCUUGACUCUUUGUUUGAACCCUGUUAUUACUCUAGUUACAGAAGAUUCCACAAGCUGGCGCACAAAGCAAGAGACAGCAGUGUUCCUUGUAAGCUGAGAAGAUAUUUAGAUGACAAGGUUGACUACCGGUAGUGGCUGAAUUGUGUCCCCCAAAAUAGAUAUGCUGAAGUACUAGCCUCCAAACCUCAGAAUGUGAUCUUAUUUGGAAAGAGGGUCUUUACAGAUUUAAUCAGGUUAAAACGAGGCCAUUAGGGUGGGCACUAAUCCAAUAUGACUCGUGUCUUUCUAAAAAGGGGAAAUUUGAAUACAGAGACAGACACACAGACAUACAGAGGGAAGAAGAUGUGGAGACACAGGAAGAACACCGUGGAGGGGCA